GACGAACGCUGGCGGCAGGCCUAACACAUGCAAGUCGAACGAGUGGCGGACGGGUGAGUAAUGUCUGGGAAACUGCCCGAUGGAGGGGGAUAACUACUGGAAACGGUAGCUAAUACCGCAUACUAUCGGAUGUGCCCAGAUGGGAUUAGCUAGUAGGUGGGGUAACGGCUCACCUAGGCGACGAUCUCUAGCUGGUCUGAGAGGAUAACCAGCCACACUGAGACUGAGGCACGGUCCAGACUCCUACGGGAGGAAGCAGUGGAGAAGAUUGCACAAUGGGCGCAAGCCUGAUGCAGCCAUGCCGCGUGUAUGAAGAAGGCCUUCGGGUUGUAAAGUACUUUCAGCGAGGAGGCGUUACUCGCAGAAGAAGCACCGGCUAACUCCGUGCCAGCAGCCGCGGUAAUUC
rnacentral:rRNA from 1 species